UGAGGCAGGAGAAUUGCUUGAACCCAGGAGGUGGAGGUUGCAGUGAGCCGAGAUCGUGCCACUGCACUCCAGCCUGGGCGACAGAGCGAAACUCCAUCUCA
ensembl:miRNA